GACGAACGCUGGCGGCGUGCCUAAUACAUGCAAGUCGAACGCUUUUUCUUUCACCGGAGCUUGCUCCACCGAAAGAAAAAGAGUGGCGAACGGGUGAGUAACACGUGGGUAACCUGCCCAUCAGAAGGGGAUAACACUUGGAAACAGGUGCUAAUACCGUAUAACACUAUUUUCCGCAUGGAAGAAAGUUGAAAGGCGCUUUUGCGUCACUGAUGGAUGGACCCGCGGUGCAUUAGCUAGUUGGUGAGGUAACGGCUCACCAAGGCAACGAUGCAUAGGCGACCUGAGAGGGUGAUCGGCCACACUGGGACUGAGACACGGCCCAGACUCCUACGGGAGGCAGCAGUAGGGAAUCUUCGGCAAUGGACGAAAGUCUGACCGAGCAACGCCGCGUGAGUGAAGAAGGUUUUCGGAUCGUAAAACUCUGUUGUUAGAGAAGAACAAGGAUGAGUGUAAAAUGUUCAUCCCUUGACGGUAUCUAACCAGAAAGCCACGGCUAACUACGUGCCAGCCGCCGCCGUAA
rnacentral:rRNA from 1 species